CUCUAGCCCCGAUAAUAGUGGAAAUCCUUUUUUAAGUCGCCCUUGCGAUGAAAAAAAGAUUGUAGCGGAUAGCGGGAAAUAGC
rnacentral:sRNA from 1 species